rnacentral:rRNA from 1 species
AACGAACGCUGGCGGCAUGCCUAACGCAUGCAAGUCGAACGAGACCUUCGGGUCUAGUGGCGCAUGGGUGCGUAACGCGUGGGAACCUGCCCUUAGGUUCGGAAUAACUCCCCGAAAGGGGUGCUAAUACCGGAUAAUGUCUUCGGACCAAAGAUUUAUCGCCUUUGGAUGGGCCCGCGUUGGACUAGCUAGUUGGUAGGGUAAAAGCCUACCAAGGCGACGAUCCAUAGCUGGUCUGAGAGGAUGAUCAGCCACACUGGGACUGAGACACGGCCCAGACUCCUACGGGAGGCAGCAGUGGGGAAUAUUGGACAAUGGGCGAAAGCCUGAUCCAGCAAUGCCGCGUGAGUGAUGAAGGCCUUAGGGUUGUAAAGCUCUUUUACCCGGGAUGAUAAUGACAGUACCGGGAGAAUAAGCUCCGGCUAACUCCGUG